AGUGUUUAGAUUUAGCAUUAAGCAGACUUUCUGUUCAAGAAAUGUUUUAGAUCAUCCGCGAAUAAUGUAAAGCAGACAGACAUCUUGUCCUUGACAUGAUUAAAGAAGAUGCAGUCGUGUUUGUGCAUGUGAUGAAGAACAAGAAGAUUUGUAGUGUUUAUAGUUUGGUGAUUUCCGCCUCUGUAUAGGAAGAAUAAAGUUGCAGCAAAAUAUUCA